GACGAACGCUUGCUGCGUGCUUAACACAUGCAAGUCGCACGGAGUGGCGAACGGGUGAGUAACACGUGGGUGACCUGCCCUGCACUUCGGAAUAAGCCUGGGAAACUGGGUCUAAUACCGGAUAGUUUGGGAUGGUCCCGCGGCCUGUCAGCUUGUUGGUGGGGUAAUGGCCUACCAAGGCCGCGCCGGGUGGCCGGCCUGAGAGGGUGGACGGCCAUAUUGGGAAUGGGACAAGGCCCAGACUCCUACGGGAGGCAGCAGUGGGGGAUAUUGCACGAUGGGCGGAAGCCUGAUGCAGCGACGCCGCGUGGGGGAUGACGGCCUUCGGGUUGUAAACUCCUUUCACCAUCGACGCGGUAGAUGGAGAAGAAGCACCGGCUAACUACGUGCCAGCCGCCGCGGUAAUAC
rnacentral:rRNA from 1 species